ensembl:lncRNA
AGUAGAUACUAUAGUAGAUAAUAUAGUAGAUACUAUAGUAGAUAAUAUAAUAGAUAAUAAAGUAGAUACUAUAGUAGAUAAUAUAGUAGAUAAUAAGGUAGAUACUAUAGUAGAUAAUAAGGUAGAUAAUAUAGUAGAUAAUAAGGUAGAUAAUAUAGUAGAUAAUAAGGUAGAUAAUAUAGUAGAUAAUAAGGUAGAUACUAUAGUAGAUAAUAAGGUAGAUAAUAAGGUAGAUACUAUAGUAGAUAAUAAGGUCGAUAAUAUAGUAGAUACUAUAGUAGAUAAUAAGGUAGAUAAUAUAGUAGAUACUAUAGUAGAUAAUAAGGUAGAUAAUAUAGUAGAUAAUAAGGUAGAUACUAUAGUAGAUAAUAAGGUAGAUACUAUAGUAGAUAAUAUAGUAGAUACUAUAGUAGAUAAUAAGGUAGAUACUAUAGUAGAUAAUAUAGUAGAUAAUAUAGUAG